GAUGAACGCUAGCUACAGGCUUAACACAUGCAAGUCGAGGGGAAACGGCAUUGAGUGCUUGCACUCUUUGGACGUCGACCGGCGCACGGGUGAGUAACGCGUAUCCAACCUUCCCAUUACUGUGGGAUAACCUGCCGAAAGGCAGACUAAUACCGCAUAGUCUUCGAUGACGGCAUCAGAUUUGAAGUAAAGAUUUAUCGGUAAUGGAUGGGGAUGCGUCUGAUUAGCUUGUUGGCGGGGUAACGGCCCACCAAGGCUACGAUCAGUAGGGGUUCUGAGAGGAAGGUCCCCAACAUUGGAACUGAGACACGGUCCAAACUCCUACGGGAGGCAGCAGUGAGGAAUAUGGGUCAAUGGACGGAAGUCUGAACCAGCCAAGUAGCGUGCAGGAGGACGGCCCUAUGGGUGGUAAACUGCUUUUGUAUGGGGAUAAAGUUAGGGACGGGUCCCUAUUUGCAGGUACCAUACGAAUAAGGACCGGCUAAUUCCGUG
rnacentral:rRNA from 1 species